rnacentral:lncRNA from 1 species
AUUUACCCAGGUUCGGCCCCUCGUGUGGAGGUAAAAGCCUAUGUCCUGCUUUGUGUAGAUUGAUGAUGGAUUCGAUUACAAGGAGGGCGUAACUCGCCUGACCUAGCUCUCGAUGAUUUCUAACCUACCCUAUCUGCCCCAGAGACUCGCCUUUAUAUACAGGUCGAGGCCCUAGGGUUUACAAGAGUCCUAACCACGCUAUAGAUCGUGGCCUUCCAUAUCUCUAAGUCGCCGUGUUUCCAAGACUGGAAACCUCCUUGGCGGGUUAUCUUCUGCAUCAAUUCUGAACCGCCAUCCGGCUCAUGGGCACCUCGGCUAAGGCUUGUAUUAACAAAGUAUGAGUCGCCCCUUUAGUGACCCGGCACAGUUAGGGCGGGUUACACCGCAGGUAAUAUCCCCAACACAUUCCCAAGUCCUCUCUCCUCCCCUGGCCGUCGCCACGGUCAUGCCGGCGCACGAACUUUCGGUGAAUCGUGCCCUUCUAUAUAACGCCACCCCGAGCCUCCCUCCCUUCGACCUCAUGCUACACCUAAUUGCACCCCUGAACCAAACAUUCAUCGCCAGGAGCCCCAAAGCUCGAGAUCGAGCUCCGGAUCCGCCACAUCAGGAUUCCAGCAAUCCCCGGGUACAAGGCCGCUCCGGCUCCCAUUUCUUUUACAAAGGAAUCACAACAUCUUCAUGAUGCUUUCCCCUCUCUCUCCCUUGUUUGUUU